rnacentral:rRNA from 1 species
AUUGAACGCUGGCGGCGUGCCUAACACAUGCAAGUCGAGCGGUAACAGGUGUAGCAAUACAUGCUGACGAGCGGCGAACGGGUGAGUAAUGCUUUGGAAUCUUCCCAGUAGUGGGGAAUAACCAGUCGAAAGAUUGGCUAAUACCGCAUACGUCUGUAAAGGGAAAGCGGGGCUCGCAAGACCUCGCGGCUAUUGGAUGAGCCAAAGUCGGAUUAGCUAGUUGGNGGGGUAAUGGCCUACCAAGGCGACAAUCCGUAGCUGGUCUGAGAGGACGACCAGCCACACCGGAACUGAGACACGGUCCGGACUCCUACGGGAGGCAGCAGUGGGGAAUAUUGGAC